UACGGAGGGUGCAAGCGUUAUCCGGAUUCACUGGGUUUAAAGGGAGCGUAGGUGGCUUUGUAAGUCAGUGGUGAAAUAUUGCGGCUCAACCGCAAAACUGCCAUUGAUACUGCUUAGCUUGAAUCACGUCGAGGUGGAUGGAAUAAUACAUGUAGCGGUGAAAUGCUUAGAUAUGUAUUAGAACACCGAUUGCGAAGGCAGUUCACUAGGCGCGUAUUGACACUGAGGCUCGAAAGCGUGGGGAUCAAACAGG
rnacentral:rRNA from 1 species